GAUCAUUUUUGCAAAGCAACUUCAUUGUGGCCGAACCGGAUUCUUGGUGCUAUGGUUGGAGAGAGUAAGGCUGGUGAAGUCUGGCCAUGUGAUUAGCCACUGUCCUGCUGAUCAAGAAUCACUGCUUUUGCACUUUUUAGGAUCUUCUGUAUAUGGGAAGAAGAACCCAAAUCAAGUUCAAGGGAAGAUGUGAUGUUCACUGCCCUUGUAGGAGUCCAC
rnacentral:lncRNA from 1 species